GGGUUGUGAGGUUAAGCGACUAAGCGUACACGGUGGAUGCCCUGGCAGUCAGAGGCGAUGAAGGACGUGCUAAUCUGCGAAAAGCGCCGGCGAGGUGAUAUGAACCUUUGACCCGGCGAUGUCCGAAUGGGGAAACCCAGUGUGUUCCGACACACUAUCGUUAACUGAAUACAUAGGUUAACGAGGCGAACCGGGGGAACUGAAACAUCUAAGUACCCCGAGGAAAAGAAAUCAACCGAGAUUCCCCCAGUAGCGGCGAGCGAACGGGGAGCAGCCCAGAGUCUGAAUCAGCUUGUGUGUUAGUGGAAGCGUCUGGAAAGUCGCACGGUACAGGGUGACAGUCCCGUACACGAAAGCACACAGGCUGUGAACUCGAAGAGUAGGGCGGGACACGUGGUAUCCUGUCUGAAUAUGGGGGGACCAUCCUCCAAGGCUAAAUACUCCUGACUGACCGAUAGUGAACCAGUACCGUGAGGGAAAGGCGAAAAGAACCCCGGCGAGGGGAGUGAAAAAGAACCUGAAACCGUGUACGUACAAGCAGUGGGAGCCUCUUUUAUGGGGUGACUGCGUACCUUUUGUAUAAUGGGUCAGCGACUUAUAUUCUGUAGCAAGGUUAACCGUAUAGGGGAGCCGAAGGGAAACCGAGUCUUAACUGGGCGUUAAGUUGCAGGGUAUAGACCCGAAACCCGGUGAUCUAGCCAUGGGCAGGUUGAAGGUUGGGUAACACUAACUGGAGGACCGAACCGACUAAUGUUGAAAAAUUAGCGGAUGACUUGUGGCUGGGGGUGAAAGGCCAAUCAAACCGGGAGAUAGCUGGUUCUCCCCGAAAGCUAUUUAGGUAGCGCCUCGUGAAUUCAUCUUCGGGGGUAGAGCACUGUUUCGGCUAGGGGGCCAUCCCGGCUUACCAACCCGAUGCAAACUACGAAUACCGAAGAAUGUUAUCACGGGAGACACACGGCGGGUGCUAACGUCCGUCGUGAAGAGGGAAACAACCCAGACCGCCAGCUAAGGUCCCAAAGUCAUGGUUAAGUGGGAAACGAUGUGGGAAGGCACAGACAGCCAGGAUGUUGGCUUAGAAGCAGCCAUCAUUUAAAGAAAGCGUAAUAGCUCACUGGUCGAGUCGGCCUGCGCGGAAGAUGUAACGGGGCUAAACCAUGCACCGAAGCUGCGGCAGCGACACUAUGUGUUGUUGGGUAGGGGAGCGUUCUGUAAGCCGUUGAAGGUGUCCUGUGAGGGGUGCUGGAGGUAUCAGAAGUGCGAAUGCUGACAUAAGUAACGAUAAAGCGGGUGAAAAGCCCGCUCGCCGGAAGACCAAGGGUUCCUGUCCAACGUUAAUCGGGGCAGGGUGAGUCGACCCCUAAGGCGAGGCCGAAAGGCGUAGUCGAUGGGAAACAGGUUAAUAUUCCUGUACUUGGUGUUACUGCGAAGGGGGGACGGAGAAGGCUAUGUUAGCCGGGCGACGGUUGUCCCGGUUUAAGCAUGUAGGCGGA
rnacentral:rRNA from 1 species